rnacentral:sRNA from 1 species
UAUUCUGCCCUACGGGGAAGGAUGAGAAGCUUCGACUAAGGUUCGACUCGAGCGCCAGCGAGAAAACGUUGCCGCAGGCAACGGCCCGAAGGGCGAGGCGCUUUAGCGCCGAGUAAUCCUUCCCCCACCACCA